AUGGGUGACCUUUCGGGAAGUUUGACCACGGAGUGCGCACUUCUAUGUGGUACGGGUGCGCCACUGGCACGCCUUUUUCUAGUAGUCGCCGGAUCGAUCACGGUGGCGCAGGUACCUUUGUCCCCGCCCCCGGUCCUUCCCUUCCUCCUCCCUCGGCCGAUCCUUCCCCUCCUCCGCCGCAGUUCCGUGCCGUCCUCCCGGCGCCAGAUCCUAUCGGAACCGAGGUCGUCCAGUCCCUCCGUCGGCAAGGCGCCACUGCCAUCUUCAUGGACUACCCAUCCCGAUACGGCGGCUGCCCGUCGCUCCCCCUCCCAAAGAUCCACGCGUCCCUAAGUUCGUUCGUGCGUGAACUGGCUGGUGACCGACCACCAGCGCAACAUCUUGCUCAUGCACUGCGACGGGACGGUGUAUGGGAGAGCGCCGGUGGAGCUGCUCAAUACUUGCUCGACGCUCGAUCAGCGGUCGUCUCAUCUGAGGACAUUAAUCUGCCAUGAAUUUGCAACAAGGAAAAAAAUCAGGAUGACUUCAAGAUUGAGCCGUUCUUUUCAAAGGUGGAGCUAUUAGACAUUGAUGAAAGCCAUGGCGAUGAGGCAGAGUUUAUCCAUGGAGUCGAUGAAUAUAUCCUAGAAUGCAACAACCCAUCUACUACAUUCUAGCCCAAAAACAACAACGCUUACACAGGCUUUCCAUACAUUGCAGCGUGACAUGCUCCAUUCCCCAUCGUUCUCAGCCAUAGUUUGGUGUAUUUUCUGCCCGGCAAUGCCAACAAUGUAUGUGUUGAUUUAAUAAAGCUUCACCGUGCAAGAUCACUUCCUCUACGGCUCUGCCCCCACCAGCAAGUGUCGUGUUCAUGUGCUUCUUUGCAACCCCCUCUGAAUAUUUUUUAUACCUUUCUAGAUUUGCAUUUUAGAUUGGAAAUUUCUCUCCCCUGUUGGGCCUUCUUUAUUGUAUUUGCUACGUUUUGCUACGUGCCAUCAUCCACAACAAUUUGCAAUCUAACUUAUUUUUAUCAUGUCUGAUGUUUGCAGAUUUCUCAUCUUUUAUCAUUACAACUUUGAAGAAAGCAGUGACAAGAGUAAUACCAUGCAAUUGUACAUAUCCAUGAAAUACUGA